rnacentral:rRNA from 1 species
AGUGAACGCUGGCGGUAGGCCUAACACAUGCAAGUCGAACGGCAGCACAGUAAGAGCUUGCUCUUACGGGUGGCGAGUGGCGGACGGGUGAGGAAUACAUCGGAAUCUACUUUUUCGUGGGGGAUAACGUAGGGAAACUUACGCUAAUACCGCAUACGACCUACGGGUGAAAGCAGGGGAUCUUCGGACCUUGCGCGAUUGAAUGAGCCGAUGUCGGAUUAGCUAGUUGGCGGGGUAAAGGCCCACCAAGGCGACGAUCCGUAGCUGGUCUGAGAGGAUGAUCAGCCACACUGGAACUGAGACACGGUCCAGACUCCUACGGGAGGCAGCAGUGGGGAAUAUUGGACAAUGGGCGCAAGCCUGAUCCAGCCAUACCGCGUGGGUGAAGAAGGCCUUCGGGUUGUAAAGCCCUUUUGUUGGGAAAGAAAAGCAGCAGGUUAAUACCCCGCUGUUCUGACGGUACCCAAAGAAUAAGCACCGGCUAACUUCAUGC